GGUAUAUUUAGACGUGUAAUUAUGUUUAUGUUAAAUUAUUUAAAUUGUUUAUUUGUUUAGUAUUAAUAGUAUAGAAAUGAAUGUUGUUAGAAGUACUGUAAAGGAAAUUUAAAAUAUUUAUUUAUUAGUAGAAAUAAGUGUUCGUACCUUUUGUAUAAUGGAUUGAUGAUUUAUAAUUAUUUAUUAUAUUUUCUCGAAGUGAAAGGAUUUACUUUGUGGGUUGUGUGUUAACGUUGUAUAGUUAUACAUUGACUAUAAAGUGGUAAUGAGAUGUUUAUCGUUUUUCAUGAUAGCUAGUUUAUUGAUGUGUAAUAUUUAAGUGUUAUAAUAUUAAUUGUAGUAUACUGUUAUUUUAAUAUUAGUUUAUUAUACAGGGGAUAAGCUUUGUGUAGUUUUGUAGAAUUUGUUAAGUAAAGUUAGGUAAAUUUAAGUAGAAUUAAUAAUGUUUUUCUUUAAGAGUAGUUUAAAUUUUAUGUAUAUUAGUAAAUUCAUGUGAAUAGUUAAUAAAUUUCUGUAAAUUUUUUUAUAGUUAAGUAUAAUGUUAAUAUGAGUAUUGGUAUAUAUUAAUAUGUUUGAUGAUACUAUAAUUGUGUAUAGUUAAGAUUAUUACGGAUAUUAAUUAAAUAGGAUAAAGGAAUUCGGCAAAUAUUAAUCUCGCCUGUUUAUCAAAAACAUGUCUCUUUGUGUGUUAUAAAUAAAGAGUCGGGCCUGCUCGGUGAAUAAUUGUUUUAACAGCUGCGGUAUUUUAACUGUACUAAGGUAGCAUAAUAAUUUGCCUUAUAAUUUGAGGCUAGAAUGAAUGGUUUGACGAAGGUUAAUCUGUCUCUAUUCUAUUUUUUAGAAAUUAAUUUUUAAAGUGAAAAAGCUUAUAUUUUUUAAAGGGACGAGAAGACCCUAUUGAGCUUAUAAUUUUAUUACUAUUAUUAUUGUAUGUGUGUAGUAGUAUAUAAAUUUUAAUUGGGGUGAUUAGGGAAUAAAAUAAUAAAUAUAGUAACUUCCUUAGAAUUAAUAUUGUUGGGUAAAGUAACCAAUAUUAUUGCUUAUAUUAUAGUUACCAUAGGGAUAACAGCGUAAUUUAUUUAGAGAGUUCUUAUUAAAAAAUGAGAUUGCGACCUCGAUGUUGGAUUAAAGUAACCUUAAGGUGCAGAAGCUUUAAUAGGUAAAUCUGUUCGAUUUUUAAAACUUUACAUGAUCUGAGUUCAGACCGGCGUGAGCCAGGUUGGUUUCUAUCUUUUAAAAAUGGUUGUUGCUUCUUUUAGUACGAGAGGAUCAAAGAUAGCUAAAUUUAUUUAUUAUAAUACAAAG
rnacentral:rRNA from 1 species